rnacentral:rRNA from 1 species
ACAUGCUUGCAACAUAGCGUUAAGGCACUAGAUCCCAUUAGAAAUCCACAAUUAAGUGUGCACGGGCUAGAGUAGCACUGGGAUGAGUGACCUCCCGGGAAGUUCUAGUGUUUUACAUGCC